rnacentral:rRNA from 1 species
UACGUAGGGUGCGAGCGUUGUCCGGAAUUACUGGGCGUAAAGAGUUCGUAGGCGGUUUGUCGCGUCGUUUGUGAAAACCCGGGGCUCAACUUCGGGCUUGCAGGCGAUACGGGCAGACUGGAGUACUGCAGGGGAGACUGGAAUUCCUGGUGUAGCGGUGGAAUGCGCAGAUAUCAGGAGGAACACCGGUGGCGAAGGCGGGUCUCUGGGCAGUAACUGACGCUGAGGAGCGAAAGCGUGGGGAGCAAACAGG